rnacentral:misc_RNA from 1 species
UCUCCGUUGGUGAACCAGCGGAGGGAUCAUUACCGAGUUUCCAACUCCCCAACACAACAUUGAGCACACUAAACUCGUGCCUCGGGCGGGUCCCGCGCGGGGUGCGUCGCAGCCCCGGGAACAGGCCGCCGCCCUGCCGACCGACCAAACACUUUCAAUACUUACCUCGCGGACGCUAUUUUUCCAAAUCUGUGCAAAAAUUCAAAAUGAAACAAAACUUUCAACAACGCAUCUCUUUGUACGGGCAACGAGGAAGAACGCAACAGAACGGCAGAGCAA